GUUCCAGCAGCACAUUAUGUCUGUGGGUAGCAGAACAGCUCCAGCACACCCAUCCCUUUCCAUGGCCCCCAGCAUGGCUGUGGUAGGAUGAGCCCUGCCCUGUUCCUGCUGCUGUCCCUGGCCAGCUGCUCCCUGCUCCAGGGGACGCUGCUGAGGCCACAGCACGUCAGGCUGGAGGCACAGAACUUCCACGUCUUGCUGCGCUGGGAGCCAGACCCCAGCUCACCCAGCUCUGCCACCUAUGAGGUGGAGUGGAGGAACAGAACCUCAAACUGGACCAAGGCAGGUGCCUAUGGGGGGAACUGCAGAAACUCCUGUGUGUGUGAGCUGUAUUUUGACAGGAUUCAUGAUAUCUACUGGGCACGGGUGAGAGUGGUGGCCGGAGGUGAGCGGUCCGAGUGGGCCAUUUCCAGCGAGCUGCAGCUGUACAGAGACACAAUUGUUGGCCCCCCCAAGCUGUCUUGGCUGCUCCAGGACCAAAUCCUCAGCGUAAACAUCAUCACACCACCCACUCCCUACCAGAGAAGGACUGGUUCCUACAAGCCAGUCAACCGAGUGCUGCUGAAGCUGUGGUACUGGCUGCACCUGUACGAGGGGGACCUGCUUGUCCAGCAGGUGCCCUGCAAACGGAGCAGUGAGAAAGUGCCUUGCACCUUUGGGCACCUGAAGCCCAGCACACAGUACUGUGUCCGGACGGUGGCUGCAGACAUUGCCAGGGAGCGGAGCCAGGAGGCUGAGCAGUGCCUGGUGACUCCAGCAGCCCCCUCAGGCUUUCCAUGGGUCUCUGCUGUGCUGAGUGCCUUCUUCCUGCUGCUGCCUCUGAGUGUGGCCGGGAUGUGCUUCGUGCAGCUGCAUGUCUUUCCCAGUCCUCAGGAGAUGUGCCUCCCAAAAGCACUGGCUCUCCAGAACAGCGAGCUGAAUGUGGCCAUGCAGGUGCCUCCACUGCAGCUUGAGGAGGACCCACUGGCCCUGCUCCUGCAGACUGUGCUCCCCUCCCACGGGCCAUCCACAGCUGUGCAGGCAUCAGCCACGGUCCCACGGCUCCUGCGAGGCCUUGUCCAGGAUCUUUAUUCUAAAUGCCAGUGCCCAGUUCUGGGAGCAGACAGCCACCUUCCUCUGCCCGUGCCGAGCAGAAGCUGCAGCCAGGACUGCCUGCAGGAGAGUCCGGGGACGGCUCGGCACUGGAUCCGGCUCAGCUCCGUGAGGCUCCUGCCCAGCACGGAGACGGAAGGCGGGCAGCGCCCCUGUGCUCCCCAGGCUCUGCGGGGCGGCGGGAGUGACCCAGAGCUAGGGGACAGCGCCGUGCAGCGAGGCUCCCCGGGGCAGGCCGAGCCGUGUCCGUGCCCGCUGCCCCCCUCGCCCCGCGGCCUGCGGGCAGCUCCCUUCCCCGGCUACGAGCCCCGGGCCCCGGCGGGCAGCGAGCCUUAGCGGCCCAGCCGAGCCCAGGCCGCCUCCCGCAGCUCCCCGGCCGGAACGGCUGUCUGUCUGUGUCUGUCUGUCUGUCCGUCUGUCUGUGUCUAUCCGUCUCUCCGUCUGUCUGUCUGUCUGUCCCAGCCUGCUGGGGCGUGCUGCGGGUGGGACCGGGCAGGCUCCAAGGGCAGGCACAGGCCCGUUCCGGGCACGGCCGCCAAAGACGGGCGAGAUCCAGAGCUUUCCUCUGGGGAUUCGGUGCUCUUGAGACACCUCAUAAGGAGCAUGGAGCAACGCUGAAGCCCCAAACCUCUUAUCUAGAGAUCUGUCUGUAUGUGUGCAUGUAUGGUACAGUAUCUAUACUAAUGUAACACUCAUAUAUACAUAUAUAUUUGUAAAGCUCUUUAAUGAAAAAAAUGUUGGGGGUUUUACUUCUGUGGAAAUGUUGAUUCUGUGCUGGAGUUGUUUUUAAAUAUCACUAAUUUAUUCUAGAAAAC
ensembl:lncRNA